rnacentral:rRNA from 1 species
GAGUUUGAUCCUGGCUCGGACGAACGCUGGCGGCGUGCUUAACACAUGCAAUUCGAGCGAUGAAACACCUUCGGGUGUGAAUUAGCGGCGAACGGGUGAGGAACACGUGAAGAAUCUGCCUUCAACUCUGGGAUAACUCCGGGAAACCGGGGCUAAUACCGGAUAUGAGCCUUGAUCGCAUGAUCGGGGCUGGAAAGUUUUUCGGUUGAAGAUGACUUCGCGGCCUAUCAGCUUGUUGGUGAGGUAAUGGCUCACCAAGGCGACGACGGGUAGCCGGCCUGAGAGGGCGACCGGCCACACUGGGACUGAGACACGGCCCAGACUCCUACGGGAGGCAGCAGUGGGGAAUAUUGGGCAAUGGAGGAAACUCUGACCCAGCGACGCCGCGUGAGGGAUGAAGGCCUUCGGGUUGUAAACCUCUUUCAGUAGGGAAGAAGCGAAAGUGACGGUACCUACAGAAGAAGCACCGGCUAACUAUGUGCCAGCAGCCGCGGUAAUACAUAGGGUGCAAGCGUUGUCCGGAAUUAUUGGGCGUAAAGAGCUCGUAGGUGGUUCGAUACGUCGGAUGUGAAAAUCAGGGGCUCAACCCCUGACCUGCAUCCGAUACGGUCGAGCUAGAGUUUGGUAGGGGAGACUGGAAUUCCUGGUGUAGCGGUGGAAUGCGCAGAUAUCAGGAGGAACACCGAUGGCGAAGGCAGGUCUCUGGGCCAAUACUGACACUGAGGAGCGAAAGCGUGGGGAGCGAACAGGAUUAGAUACCCUGGUAGUCCACGCCGUAAACGGUGGGCGCUAGUUGUGCGAACCUUCCACGGUUUGUGCGACGCAGCUAACGCAUUAAGCGCCCCGCCUGGGGAGUACGAUCGCAAGAUUAAAACUCAAAGGAAUUGACGGGGCCCCGCANCAGCAGCGGAGCAUGCGACUUAAUUCGACGC